AAUACAAAUGCAGAAUCUAAUCCUGUUAUUCUUACUGAUGAGAGCCCAUUAAGAAGGCACCACCGAGCUGAAGAUGAAGCCAAGAGUCUGGUUCAAAAAAUAAUGCAGACUAAACCUGGUGGGGAAGCAGUCAUCAGAGAGUACAACAAAACCAAAAGCCUGACUGACAGUACCAGAAGGAGGAUGGUCAAUAUCCUCACUGCUGAUAUGACUGAAAAGCAUGGGACAUCUCCCCCAAGGCACAUAAGGGAAACUUAUGCACAAGGAAUUGUUGCCCUGUUUCCACAUCUUCAUGAUCCCU